UCCAGAGAACUUUCCAGAGAUGGAUUGGUGCCUUCGGGAACUCUGAGACAGGUGCUGCAUGGCUGUCGUCAGCUCGUGUUGUGAAAUGUUGGGUUAAGUCCCGCAACGAGCGCAACCCUUAUCCUUUGUUGCCAGCGGUUAGGCCGGGAACUCAAAGGAGACUGCCAGUGAUAAACUGGAGGAAGGUGGGGAUGACGUCAAGUCAUCAUGGCCCUUACGAGUAGGGCUACACACGUGCUACAAUGGCGCAUACAAAGAGAAGCGACCUCGCGAGAGCAAGCGGACCUCAUAAAGUGCGUCGUAGUCCGGAUUGGAGUCUGCAACUCGACUCCAUGAAGUCGGAAUCGCUAGUAAUCGUGGAUCAGAAUGCCACGGUGAAUACGUUCCCGGGCCUUGUACACACCGCCCGUCACACCAUGGGAGUGGGUUGCAAAAGAAGUAGGUAGCUUAACCUUCGGGAGGGCGCUUACCACUUUGUGAUUCAUGACUGGGGUGAAGUCGUAACAAGGUAGGCGUAGUGCU
rnacentral:rRNA from 1 species